rnacentral:rRNA from 1 species
CGUAGGUGGCAAGCGUUGUCCGGAAUUAUUGGGCGUAAAGCGCGCGCAGGCGGUUCCUUAAGUCUGAUGUGAAAGCCCCCGGCUCAACCGGGGAAGGUCAUUGGAAACUGGGGAACUUGAGUGCAGAAGAGAAGAGCGGAAUUCCACGUGUAGCGGUGAAAUGCGUAGAGAUGUGGAGGGACACCAGUGGCGAAGGCGGCUCUUUGGUCUGUAACUGACGCUGAGGCGCGAAAGCGUGGGGAGCAAACAGGAUUAGAUACCCUGGUAGUCCACGCCGUAAACGAUGAGUGCUAAGUGUUAGAGGGUUUCCGCCCUUUAGUGCUGCAGCUAACGCAUUAAGCACUCCGCCUGGGGAGUACGGCCGCAAGGCUG